UUCACCUAAAGCAUAGACAGUAAAGAACAUCAUAAUACCAAUCAAAGUAUAAUCGAUAAUAACAGAAGCCGGUCCACCAUCAGCAAGUGAACUACCAGAACCCACAAACAAACCAGUACCAAUAGCACCACCAAUGGCAAUCAUUUGCAUAUGCCUACCUUUCAGAUGACGCUUUAAUGCGACACCAUCCUCGCGGUCGGCUUUAACGGGUUUGAAGUCGCUAAAAAACUUUUGCAAGAAAUUUUGAUGGGAAGGAGUAUCAGCAUACUCGACUUCACCGGGGAUGACUUCGGAUUCGGUGGGAUGAAUGUCGAAAACAUUUUUAUCAUCCUUCGAUUGGCCGUAGACGGACUUGGUAGCCGUUGAAGGAUAUUUUUCAAGGUCAAUGUCAAUAGAGCGAUCUGGCGACGACAUACUUUAGACAGAGAAAGUUAUUGAAAAGGUAGAGAGAAAUAGUAAGACGAUAUUGGGAUAGAGGAGUAAAGAUGUAUGAUUAAAGAGAAAACAAAAUG